UACGUAGGGUGCAAGCGUUGUCCGGAAUUAUUGGGCGUAAAGAGCUCGUAGGCGGUCUGUCGCGUCUGCUGUGAAAACUCAGGGCUUAACCCUGAGCUUGCAGUGGGUACGGGCAGACUAGAGUGCGGUAGGGGAGACUGGAAUUCCUGGUGUAGCGGUGAAAUGCGCAGAUAUCAGGAGGAACACCGAUGGCGAAGGCAGGUC
rnacentral:rRNA from 1 species